UCUGAAAGGCUGAAGUUUUUGGC
rnacentral:miRNA from 1 species